UUAAUCAAGAACGAAAGUUAGAGGUUCGAAGGCGAUCAGAUACCGCCCUAGUUCUAACCGUAAACUAUGCCUACUAGGUGUAUGAAUUAUUAGUUAUAAUAAUUUAUGCACCUUCUCGGAAACGAAAGUCUUUCGGUUCCGGGGGAAGUAUGGUUGCAAAGCUGAAACUUAAAGGAAUUGACGGAAGGGCACCACCAGGAGUGGAGCCUGCGGCUUAAUUUGACUCAACACGGGAAAACUCACCCGGGCCGGACACUAUAAGGAUUGACAGAUUGAUAGCUCUUUCAUGAUUUAGUGGUUGGUGGUGCAUGGCCGUUCUUAGUUCGUGGAUAUGAUUUGUCUGGUUGAUUCCGAUAACGAGCGAGACUUUUAUGUUAUAUUAAAUAAUAUUAUUUAUAAAUUUUAUAUUUUAUAUAAUAUUUUAUUUUAAUAACAGAUUAAUAGUGCGUAACUA
rnacentral:rRNA from 1 species